rnacentral:lncRNA from 1 species
AAAAUAAGUGCUGGAUUUAAAAAUGUGUUAUUGCUUGAUUGCGAAUUCCAUGGUCUCAGCUUGAGUUUUUCUUCAUUUCAGAGAAACGCUGUGAUUUUCCCACGGUAGAAAAUGGAAGGCUUGCCCAAUAUUACUAUACUUUUAAGAGUUUUUACUUCCCAAUAAGCAUAGACAAAAAGUUGCCAUUUUUCUGUUUGGCUGGCUACACAACUGAAAGUGGGAAACAAGAAGAGCAAAGCAGAAGUUCAGCAGAGGGCUGGUCUCUAGAACCAAGGUGCUUCAGUGACUCCAAUUUAAAAAUUGUUACUUCAUGAGAUUUCAUUUGAAUUUUGGCCUUUGAUCAAGGACAACGGACAAGGCUUUUGACAAUAAAAGACCGGUAGAGUUAGCCAACAGGUACGUGAAAAAAACAGAACACAGGUGCAAAGGCAAACUUUAUUUUUCAGUU